AUUGAACGCUGGCGGCAUGCCUAACACAUGCAAGUCGAGCGAGCGGCGGACGGGUGAGUAAUGUAUGGGGACUUCCCGAUCGUGGGGGAUAACUACUGGAAACGGUAGCUAAUACCGCAUACUAUCGGAUAUCCCAUAUGGGAUUAGCUGGUAGUUGAGGUAAUGGGUCACCUAGGCGACGGUCCCUAGCUGGUCUGAGAGGAUGAUCAGCCACAGUGGGACUGAGACACGGCCCAGAAGCCUGCGGAGGCAGCAGGGGGGAAUAUUGGACAAUGGGCGAAAGCCUGAUGCAGCAAGGCGGCGUGUAUGAAGAAGGCCAUAGGGUUGUAAAGUACUUUCAGUCGGGAGGCGUUACCGACAGAAGAAGCACCGGCUAACUACGUGCCAGCAGCCGCGGUAAUUC
rnacentral:rRNA from 1 species